CGGCCCCCUUGAUCUCCGCUCAUUUGGCAAAUACAAUGCAGCUCUCAUGCGCCUGUUUUAUGACAGUGCUACAAUUCCCAGGCACCUUCGAUGUGCGUGGAUGGCCGGGGAAGGGGAGAGGCGCGAGCGGUGUUGCAGUGGUUCACGCUCUCCGCUACACGAACCUUGUGACAUGGGUUUGAUUUGUGGCCACGGCUAACCUAAGCGAGCUGCCAUUGCCGAGGGACACGUGGCGAAGCGCGUUUCGUGACUACAUCAACAAACAGGCAAUGAAAGCAAACGAGGCCGUCCGCUCCGUCAGCCAGCUCCGCAAGCAUCGCGUCGGUCAUUCUCCGCGGACCGCAUUCCCCCACCCGUUCAACAACAGGGCCAGCAUUUUGCGCAUCAAACGUCGAUGUAGAGAUCUACUCCAUCUGGCUUCCAACACCCCCCCCCCACACACAUCCCUUCAACCCCACUCCUGCCCAACCGGUCCGCACCUCUCGCACGGAGCCUCCACAUCCAUCCCCGUUCGCGCCCCUGGUCGCCCAACAAAGGUUGGAACUUUGUCAAACGUUUUGUGUAUUCGACUUUCGCGCCGCCCCGAGAGC